rnacentral:rRNA from 1 species
UACGUAGGGUGCGAGCGUUAGUCGGAAUUACUGGGCGUAAAGCGUGCGCAGGCGGUUUUGCAAGCCGGAUGUGAAAUCCCCGGGCUCAACCUGGGAAUGGCAUUUGGGACUGCAAGGCUCGAGUGCGGCAGAGGAGACUGGAAUUCCUGGUGUAGCAGUGAAAUGCGUAGAGAUCGGGAGGAACACCAGUGGCGAAGGCGGCUACCUGGACCAGCACUGACACUGAAGCACGAAAGCGUGGGGAGCAAACAGG